rnacentral:rRNA from 14 species
GGGGAAAGAAGACCCUGUUGAGCUUGACUCUAAUCCGACUUUGUGAAAUGACAUACGAGGUAUAGCCUAGGUGGGAGAGUAAUCGAUCCUGUAAAACCACUACUCGUACUGCCAUUUUACUUAUUCUGUUAUGC